UUCAAACAAAGAAAGCCUUAUGGUGCUAGGCACCGAGAGACGAGGAAGGUCAUAGUAAGCGCCGAAAUGCUUC
rnacentral:rRNA from 1 species